ensembl:lncRNA
UGUAGAUGUAAUCCUGUACGAUGUGAUCCAUGUAGAUGUGAUCCUGUAGUGUGAUCCUGUAUAUGUGAUCCAUGUAGAUGUGAUCCUGUAGUAUGUGAUCCUGUAGAUUGUGAUCCUGUAGAUGUGAUCCUGUAGAUGUGAUCCAUGUAGAUGUGAUCCUGUAGUGUGAUCCUGUAGAUGUGAUCCAUGUAGAUGUGAUCCUGUAGUGUGAUCCUGUAGAUGUGAUCCAUGUAGAUGUGAUCCUGUAGUGUGAUCCUGUAGAUGUGAUCCUGUAGAUGUGAUCCAGUUUGUGGGAAAGCAAUAGUUAAUUUCCCUUUAGAGCCUGUGGCGUCACAUGACUUACAUCAUAGGUCUGUUCACCUUCACACUAAUGAGCUCUGAUUAAAUGCAUGAAAUCUCGUCCUUCCAUCCAAUCAUCACGUUUGUGCUCACCUGAUAGUGAUGCUUGGUUGAACCAACAUGACACACUUACAGUCACCUUCAUAUGUGUGUAUAAGGGGAUUAUGGGUAAAAGUGUAGAAUAAAAGAGAUCAUGUUGUUAAGAUAUAAAAGAGAAGAAUGAACACAGAGAAAAGCUCCAUUCAGACGGAUGGAAACACUGGACUCGCCGACUGUAUGUGUGUGUGUGUGUGUGUGCGCGUGUUUGUGUGCGUGUGUGAGUGUGUGUGUGACAGACAUGAAACAGAAAAACAGUGUCACAGUUUUCCCUGCCUUCCUCCUGGCAGACUGCAGCGAGAGGACGACUCGGAAAAAUCUGAUCUCAAAACAGCCGUCCCUGUGUGUGUGUGUGUGUGUUUGUGUGUGUGCGUGCGUGUGUGUGUGUGUGCGUGUGUGUGUGUGCGUGUGUCCACUUCUGUCAUUGUGCGUUCUGUUGUUUUCCAUCCAUUACAUUGACGGCAUGUUUGUGUGUCUUUUAUCCUUUUCCGUCUGUGUGUGUAGUUGUGUGUGUGGUUGUGUGAUUGUGUUUCCGUUUUUGCCACAAAUCAGAUCAACUGAAGGAACUUUUCCUGCUUCUCUCUGUUUCUCCCCCUUUUUCUCCCCUGCUUAACCUUCCUCCCUUUUCCACACUUUUUACUUUACUCACGCUUGUUUUUUUCUCUCUUAGUCCCCCUAACUCCCCCUCUCCCCCUCAUCUUUUUUGGUGUGUCUGUGUGUGAUAGUAAAAAAGGGAGGGAGGGGGGUUUUCUGCUUCACAACCUCGGUGACCACUUCCUCCGUCCACAUCCUGUUUAUUUUCUGUUUGGCGAUAGAGACCGGACUCCCUCAGAAAUAAACACAAAAAAGAACCCACACAACAACACAAGAAACUCCUAAUUACAUCUUCAAACACACGCACACACACACACACACACACACACACACAAUAGAACCACUAGAAUAUUCUCAAAUACAAAGGAAAACAAAAAUAAAAAAGGUUAUGAUCAUUCGUUGGUGAAAAAAACGGUAUCUCCGGAAUCAGGAACAUUUAUUGCCAACAUGUGUCAGACAUACGAGGAAUUUGACGUGGUGCAAAACAUCGGACAGUAAUGAGACAAAUGACACACUGAUCUGAGGUGUGAGUGACAGUUUAUCUUCUUGUUCCAGGAUGUCCACGUGAGGACGCUCUCUGAGGGGAUCCCCGCCGGCAACAGGUGAGCUCACACCCGACACAAGGGCUCCUCAGGGGGCCUUUGGGGGCCCAGAAGGUUAGCUCUGAUUGUAGUCUGAUUGUACUCUGGUUGUACUCUUGAUUGUACUCUGGUUGUAUUCUGGUUGUACUCUGAUUGUACUCUGGUUGUAGUCUGGUUGUAGUCUGAUUGUACUCUGGUUGUACUCUGAUUGUACUCUGGUUGUAUUCUGGUUGUGGUCUGAUUGUACUCUGGUUGUAGUCUGGUUGUAGUCUGGUUGUACUCUGGUUGUAUUCUGGUUAUACUCUGAUUGUACUCUGGUUAUAGUCUGGUUGUACUCUGGUUGUAGUCUGGUUGUAAUCUGGUUCUACUCUGGUUGUAGUCUAGUUGUACUGGUUCUGAUGGUAUUUGGGAGAUUUUAUGGAAUUCCCCCUGAUGGUUUCUGUGCUGCUUGCUGAGCGGUCCAGUUAGAAUAGGACCGAGCAGCAGAGGACACAAUGUCAAUGUGACCACCACCAGAAUGUAACUAGAAGUCGGCCGCAGACCAAACACACACACACACAUUCCGGCAGGCUUAAUUACCAUAAGUCGAAGUGGCCGGCAUGAUUUUGGUUUCACACAGACACGGUGGCUGGUGGACCAAAAGCAUGUUGCAAAGCCACAGAAGUAUAUGUUACCCUAUCACACACACACACACACACACACACACACGGACACACACACACACACGGACACACAUUCAGGCUCCUCAGCAGCCUGCUGUGUGCCAAGGUUAUGAAAUAGUUUGCGUUUGCGCGCCUUUCAACACAAUUCUUUGUGCUUCCAUUCAAGCCGGGACACGACUCAGGGAGAGUUAAAAAUAGACCCUCGCUGACCUCUUCCUCACUCUUCCUCACUCUUCCCCUCUCUCUCUCUCUCUCACCCCCCUUCCUUUUUCUCUUUCAAUCCGAUAUUGUUGCAGCUGUCUUGCUCCACUUGGGUGAUGCUCGUGCUCUCACCCAGGCAAAGAGGGGUCGGGGGGUCGAGGACUUCUACACUCACUUGCUCCACACAAUACAUCCUCACAAUUCACCAAACAGGCAGAACAAACAUAAUCUCAAAGCAUAAUCCAGGGGUGUAAACGGGCUUUAUUGACAGCGAGGAUACGGUUGCCCCAGACUAUCUCUGGAGGACUUUUGGAUGCCUCGACGUGCGCCGAGCGGGCAGGUGGCAGACAGCUGGAAGAAAACCAUCUGGAAAAUACUGGAAAAUAUGAAACUCUUAAUAACAGCGGUUGUUGUGGGCGAAGGAAGAGGCGAGCGAAGCCGAGACGGCCCCACAAAGUUCCGUAUAAACGCUAUUUGGCUGAGCGUCGGCUGCAGCGCUUCUUAAACUGCUCUUUCUAACGUUUCGUAAUGACGCAGAGGAGCCGGUCUGACUCGUUUCUGCUCUUUAAUGAAACUAUUUCCCCACAAGUCGAAUCAGCAGCACCCUUCAAACGUUUUGCUGAGCGCGCAGGAAGCCCGGAGUGAAUUAUGAACGAGGGUCGGCCUCGUUCGUACACGAUUAACCUCUGUCGAGAGGACACGGCGGCGCGCUGGAGCGCACGUCUGGACCCGGCCGACGGCCAAUCAGACGUUCCGUACCCGGCCGACUUCCUGGCCCCGAGGCGAGGACCCAGAGGUCCGGCUGGUUGGUGGCGCGUUGUGAUGAACUACUGCUGCUCUUUUCUUCCCUUAUUCCAUUUCGUACGUCAGCGACCACGUGGCGCCGGAGCGGAACAGACUCGAACACGUCUUAGCUGUGGUUUCUUUGUCUGGUUUCUCUUUGUGUUUGUAGAAAGGAAUGAAUAAACAAACAAACGUUUCGACGUCUCCUGACGUUGAUUUUGAGAAUCUUUCAUGAACAUGAAUAUGUUCAUCUCUCUGCCACGUUCUGAAUGUACUUACUAAUACUUUUAAACUGUAGCUGUUGUUGUUGUGUUUGCUCCAAUGCCAAUACGUUGUUCAAUCAAUUUCAUUUAGCCAGAAGCCACGAGUGCAUUAUUUACGAGGGUCAGCGGUACUCGAUUGACCUCAAUAACUCACUGCGGUAAAAGGGAAACCGUGUAAGAGGUCUGACUGGUUAAAGGCAGCGCCGACACCAUCGGUGACCCAACUGGCCAAUCAGACGUCCGGCAACGGGCCGACUAUCCGAGCGAGUUUCUUUUCUCGUUUCAGAGUUUCAGAGUUCUCCAGGAGGAGGCGUCAGACAUUUCAGGUCAGAACUUCCCCAGUUCAAACGUAUUUACUGCGAUGAACCGCAGACACCGCAAUAAAUGAGCACUGAUUCGCUGAUUCAUUACUUCAAAGAACCACCUGUUAAACCACGAGAUCUCACGCAGAUCAUCGGGUAACCUCCUACUGCACACGGGCCGGUUCUCACUGCCUACCUGGAAGAGGAGCAUCGGCACGGGACGCUCGCCAGGACGCUUUCUCACACACAAUUUUAGUUGAUGACAUUGCUCACCAGCCCCCCAUCACCUUAAGUGUAACGUCACUCCAUAAUAAAUCCACAACAAAGGCGCCAUGCAUUCGCCCUUUUGUUGGGAGACCUUCUUGGCUUCAUUGAUGAAGAAGAUGAACCGCUGACCCAGAAUCAGGUGAACGGGUCCCACAAAGAGGUCCACCUGAAUGUCAGCGUGGGUUCUGCAUCACUGGUUAAUAAC